rnacentral:rRNA from 1 species
AGGGUGUAAACGCCGCAGACUUGGUGUUGGGAACCCUUCGGGGGUGCUCAGUGCCGGAGAGAAGUUGUUAAGUCUGCUACUUGGGGAGUACGUCCGCAAGGAUGAAACUUAAAGGAAUUGGCGGGGGAGCACCACAACGGGAGGAGCGUGCGGUUUAAUUGGAUUCAACGCCGAAAAACUCACCAGCAGCGACUGUUACAUGAAAGUCAGGUUGAUGACCUUACUAGAUUUUCAGAGAGGAGGUGCAUGGCGUCAGUGACU